rnacentral:misc_RNA from 1 species
AGUUCCAGGAUCGGAGAGGCAAGGUAAAUUUAAUUCCUCAUGCUUUGAUACAUGUGUUUAGUUGGAAUUAAACAUUACAAUUGGUUGAUUGUGCUAUUGAUGGCCUGAAGCUUGUAUGUAUAAUCAAUUUUAUUGUCACCAUUUGGAGGGUUAAGCUACAAUUAACCUUGAGUUGCUGAAUUGGGUUUCUGCUUUUAUUGUAAUUUUGUUGAUUAUAGUUCUUAUUUUAGUGUGUGCUAG